UACAGAGGGUGCGAGCGUUGUUCGGAAUUACUGGGCGUAAAGGGCGCGUAGGCGGAUAGUUUAGUCAGAGGUGAAAGCCCAGGGCUCAACCUUGGAACUGCCUUUGAUACUGGCUAUCUUGAGUUCGGGAGAGGUGAGCGGAAUGCCGAGUGUAGAGGUGAAAUGCGUAGAUAUCAGGAGGAACACCUGCGGUGUAGACGGCUUACUGGACCAUAACUGACGCUGAGGCACGAAAGCGUGGGUAGCAAACAGG
rnacentral:rRNA from 1 species